GGUUCGCUUAUCUCUUGAAGGCUCUUGAAGGGCCCAAAGGCGCCGCGGGAUGCGAGCCCAAGGACGAGGGUCGUGAUCCAAUGACGGAGCCUGUCUGCAUGAGUUGAGUUGUGCAUGCAUGUCGCCAUGAAAGCAAGGGAAGAAGUGAACGGAGCGAGAAGGGGGAGAGAGUGAGAGGCGUGUUUCCACUCCGCCGGUGCAGUUGCAGCCAGCAUCCCCCGCCCUAAUGGAUCAGCUAUAAAUAGGGAUCGCACGCCAAUCGGAACCAGUUCCAUCCCUGAUAGGCCUCAUCGGCCACAUCAGAGAACUAUCUCGCAGAGAUAAGAAACGAAUCAGAUCCUUCUUCGUCGGAUUCCGUAGUUCGGGUGCCCCAGUCGGGCAGCUUUCUAGGGUCGACCUUGCGCUUCCCCCUGAGCCCCUUCCCCUCGUGUGGAUUGGCGAGUAGGGCCUGCGCUGCUGCUGACGCUUUGGUGGCACCCUAGAGCUGCCGCAGCUUCUUGGGUUGGAUUUGGGUUGGAUGUGACAGCAAUUCCGCCAUAACGUCGGAUCGGGAGGCCCCCAUGGAGGGGGGGAGGGGGCAUCUAGCGCCAGUUAGUUACGUGGGUUGGGAUUCGCGAGGUUUGCAAGCCUGUCACGAGAAUGUGUGAGGGAUCCUGGAAGCGACGCCAUGUCGAUUCGAGCUGCCAGGUUCCUGGGCAGCUGCUGCUGCACGUUACUCCCGAUGAAUGAAAGUCUUUCUAUCGUGAAAAGCCUCAUGAAGUAGCAUUUCUACUACCUUUCCACAUGGGAGUUUUCCUCCAAUCUUUGAGAAUGUUAAAAUUACAUUUGCAUUUCAAGAGCUGCUGUAAAUCUGCCAAUUUACAUAAUCUACACGUUUCAUUGUAGGCUGAACCAGA